GUCGAAAUAUCUUCUAUAUUUUUCUAAAUAUUCCUUCAUAGAUUAAAUCAUCAUGUGAUCUUCAGGAGAUAGAUAUCUGAAAUUAAAAAUACAGUACCACACUAAUCCAAUUUCCAUCAAGAAGCUCCACAUUUUUUUACCACAAAACAGUUGAGCAAAUACUUGAUACAACAUGAGAUAAAUUUAAGACCAUGGGACGGCUCCAAAAAAGAAACAUCUACUUGAUGGUGAUAUAGCGAUUUGUCCCAUGUCUAGCCCAGUAGUCCUUGAGGUCUAGAGGGACUGAUAGAUCAUGGCCUUCUGCUGCCAACCGACUAAGCAAUUUUGUGAAGACACUACCACUCAUCUUCCGUCCACCAACUCGGGCAUGGCGCUUAUUUGGCAUCUGUGGUAAUGGGUAUGAUGACAAGGUGGUAGUGCAACAUGAUGACUGCCACCCACCAUUCCCCCAUUUAUAGCACUGAUGUGGAACACCGGUGCAUGAGCAAACAGGCACUGGCAUGGUGGUCUCAUCAAAACUGACCAGGUUCAAGCCUGCAUCUUGACUAUCCCAUUCAGCCUUAAUCUUCUUCCCAUCAGAGGCGCCUUGUCUAUUCAGAUCUUCACCUACUUUAUUGCCCUUCCUUGGUGACUUAGUUGCCUUUGAUGAUGCAGGUUUACUCUCUUUUGUUCGCUUUGUCUGACGUGGUUUAAGAGAUUCCGCUGAAACAGUUGUUAUAGGGAAGGCAUCAGUGAUGUGCAUUUCUCCACUGUUAAGAGCUUCUGCCACAGCAUUUGAAUUGUACACAGGGUGAGGAAUGCGCUUUGAUCCUCGUUGAUUUCCGUUGCCCACUGGAAAGUUCACACCAUUUUCUCGGUAUUGAAUUGCUGCCAAAGCAUUGUCUCUUUCCAUCAAGGCUUUGUCCCGCUCAGCAAGGGCUUUUUCCCGCUCGUGGAGUGCCUCAUCUCGUGCAGCCAAUGCUUCCUUUUUUUCAGCCAGUGCCAUAUUCCGUUCUUGAAUAGCAGUAUCCCUCUCAGCAAGGAUGGCCAUGAUCUUCUUAUUCAUCACUAGGGCAUUAUUUUGUUCCUUUAAAUGAGGUGGUGGCAUCAAACUCCAUGGAGAAUUUGCUGAUUUGUAAUAGUCAAUCUUGUACCUCCCACUAUGAUGUUGUCCACCAUCAUCCAUCUUAUGUCAACGUUACUGUCAAUGAAGUAGGAAUCAGGUUCAAUCUGCUCCCUAACGAUGAAUAGCAGAAUUUUAGGCAGCCACUAGUUUCUGGAAAGAGAAAACAUCUGUUUUUGAAAAAGAAAAACAAAACUCAGGUUUCCAUAACAAGAAAAGGAAGUUUAGAAAUUUCAUCAUUCAGGAGGGAAAAACAUGAAGUGUCAAAAGAAAUGUAACCAUGCUUUUCCAGCAAGAAGAAAACAAACAUAAUAGUCUAUUCCUAUUGUGAAAGCAUGUAUUUUAGGAGAACUAAAACCCAAUAACCAAAGAGAUAAUCCAGGUUAAGCAUUCACUCUGAGCUACAAAAAAGGAAGCACAAACAGCAAGUAAACACACCUGUAUGAGAUACAAGAAAAGAAGUAAAGUCUUAUUGCUUUUCUCUGUCAAAAAUACAAAUUGCGAGAAUGAUAAUUUUUUUAGGCAUCCUCAAUGGUUAAAAACAAUCACCAAGCUUAUUGAUUGGGACAAAUCAUAGAGAACAAUUAAACUAUCAAUCAAUUCCAAGAACAGAAUAAUAUCAAAAGAAAACUGUAAUUACACAGGCACAACAAGAAAAUCAAGAUUCAUGAUUCAAUCAAGGCCAUGAGAACCAGAGAUUCACAAACUAUUGUUCAGUACAUUUAAACCAACCAAUGCAAGCAUCAGGAACACUGCCCACAUAGCAAGGUAUGAGAAGCUGAGAACAAUCCAUUUGUUAACAGCAACUACAAUUCUUUAAAGUUGAAUUGGGUUUGGAAUGGUAAAGCAGCUCAAAUGAAUAUUAGCUAAGCAGUGGUAGAAAGAGGCAGUUAGAACCAAAGGAAAUUAAAAAAAAAUAAGAAAUAAAAAAGCUCUUAACAGCCAUGUGAAGAGUAAUGCAAGGUAGAGAUAGUAAUGGGUAGGGCACCCGCAAAUUUUAGGAUACCCAAACCCAUUUGGAAAUUACCUUCUUACUACUCUACCAAUCCCAAAACCCUUUACCAUUACCCGCAUACCAUCCAAACCCGCCCAAACCCUUUUUUUUCCCACAUUUUUUGUUUGACAUUUUAAUUACAUAAGAGAUUCAUGGGUCUACCCAAACCCGAAAUAUUCAAAAGCUAUGGCAAAUUCAACCUAUCUAUUGACAUCAUAAGCACAUAUCAAGUAAACAUAAAUGAAGAAGAGACCACCUAGGUAUGAUUUCUACAAAAUUGGACCCUGUAUACAGGUUUGAUUUAUUCACCUUCAUUAGACUUUAUCUUAUCAUCUUAGUAUUUACAUUUUAAUUUAUCUAGUUUCAAACAGAGAUCAAGUAAUACACAUGAAGCAGAUUGAGCCAAAUUGAAGGGCCAAACCAAAUACCAUAUAUUGCAUCUUAAAAUUGUAACAAACAGAACUGAGGAAAACUAUAAAAAGCAAAAACCGAAUAGCUGACAAAACAGCAAGCAUAAAGACCAAGUAACUUACCAGUAACUGAGCAAACAAGACAACCAAAACAAGCCCACAAAAGAGAAACAGCAAGAAUCUCGGCAACAGUAGAACAGCAAGAUCUAAGAAAUGAUAUUUAACUAAAAAAAUAAGUGAAAAGCAACAGUAGAACAGCAAGAAUAUAGAGAAAAUUAGAAAGGAAAAAAAUACAAUAUAUUAAUUUAAAUAAAACCAAAAUCUACCCAGCAGAUUACUUUUGUAUUUUCUUUGAGCUCUCUGAGUUCUCUCAUUUCCGCACAGUGAGAAAUAGACAAAUGCUGAGAACGAGCAAUCUAAAACUUUUGAUUGAAAAGGGGACAACCGAAAAUAUCCCCUAAACGGCGCCGACUACAGUGAAAGGAGUUCCAGAUCUGAGAGAGAGGCCGAAGACAGUUGGGCCGUGAGCGAGAGAAUUGGGAGUUCGGGGCUUGGUAGGAAGAGAGAGGGAGCUGGGGGUGGGGCGGCGGUGUCCCGCGCUUGAGAGAGCGAAUGAGUGGCGGAAUGAUGCUUAGGGGAACUUUAGGUUUAGAUCAAGUAAGGAUAGUGACGGAUUGGGUACAACGAAAUUCAUUCCACCUGUAUUCGAAUUCGCGGAGGGAUUAUUAGG
rnacentral:misc_RNA from 1 species